GACGAACGCUGGCGGCGUGCUUAACACAUGCAAGUCGAGCGAUGAAUUUUCUUCGGAAAUGGAUUAGCGGCGAACGGGUGAGGAACACGUGAAGAAUCUGCCCUCCACUUUGGGAUAACACAGGGAAACCUGUGCUAAUACCGAAUAUUGAAACAUAAGUGGCAUCACUGAGUUUUGAAAGAAUUUCGGUGGAGGAUGACUUCGCGGCCUAUCAGCUAGUUGGUGAGGUAAUGGCUCACCAAGGCAACGACGGGUAGCCGGCCUGAGAGGACGACCAGCCACACUGGAACUGAGACACGGUCCAGACUACUACGGGAGGCAGCAGUGGGGAAUUUUGGACAAUGGGCGCAAGCCUGAUCCAGCCAUUCCGCGUGAGUGAAGAAGGCCUUCGGGUUGUAAAGCUCUUUCGCAAGGGAAGAAAACUUAACCUCUAACAUAGGUUGAGGCUGACGGUACCUUGAUAAGAAGCACCGGCUAACUAC
rnacentral:rRNA from 1 species